GCGUAGAUAUAUGGAGGAACCACCAGUGGCGAAGGCGACUCUCUGGGUCUGUAACUGACGCUGAGGCUCGAAAGCGUGGGGAGCAAACAGGAUUAGAUACCCUGGUAGUCCACGCCGUAAACGAUGAGUGCUAAGUGUUGGAGGGUUUCCGCCCUUCAGUGCCGCAGUUAACGCAUUAAGCACUCCGCCUGGGGAGUACGGCCGCAAGGCUGAAACUCAAAGGAAUUGACGGGGGCCCGCACAAGCGGUGGAGCAUGUGGUUUAAUUCGAAGCAACGCGAAGAACCUUACCAGGUCUUGACAUCCUUUGACCACUCUAGAGAUAGAGCUUUCCCUUCGGGGACAAAGUGACAGGUGGUGCAUGGUUGUCGUCAGCUCGUGUCGUGAGAUGUUGGGUUAAGUCCCGCAACGAGCGCAACCCUUAUUGUUAGUUGCCAUCAUUCAGUUGGGCACUCUAGCGAGACUGCCGGUGACAAACCGGAGGAAGGUGGGGAUGACGUCAAAUCAUCAUGCCCCUUAUGACCUGGGCUACACACGUGCUACAAUGGACAGUACAAUGAGUUGCGAGACCGCGAGGUUUAGCUAAUCUCUUAAAGCUGUUCUCAGUUCGGAUUGUAGGCUGCAACUCGCCUACAUGAAGCCGGAAUCGCUAGUAAUCGUGGAUCAGCAUGCAACGGUGAAUACGUUCCCGGGCCUUGUACACACCGCCCGUCACACCACGAGAGUUUGUAACACCCAAAGUCGGUGAGGUAACCUUU
rnacentral:rRNA from 1 species